rnacentral:rRNA from 1 species
UACGUAGGGUGCGAGCGUUGUCCGGAAUUAUUGGGCGUAAAGAGCUCGUAGGCGGUCUGUCGCGUCUGCUGUGAAAUCCCGAGGCUCAACCUCGGGCUUGCAGUGGGUACGGGCAGGCUAGAGUGCGGUAGGGGAGAAUGGAACUCCUGGUGUAGCGGUGGAAUGCGCAGAUAUCAGGAGGAACACCGGUGGCGAAGGCGGGUCUCUGGGCCGAUACUGACGCUGAGGAGCGAAAGCGUGGGGAGCGAACAGG